rnacentral:rRNA from 1 species
AUUGAACGCUGGCGGCAGGCUUAACACAUGCAAGUCGAGCGAGAGGCGGACGGGUGAGUAAUUUCUGGGAAACUGCCUGAGGGAGGGGGAUAACUACUGGAAACGGUAGCUAAUACCGCAUACCAUCAGAUGUGCCCAGCGGGGAUUAGCUAGUUGGUGGGGUAAUGGCUCACCUAGGCGACGAUCCCUAGCUGGUCUGAGAGGAUGACCAUCCAUACUGGAACGUAGACAAGGUCCAGACGCCUACGUGAGGCAGCAUUGGGGAAUAUUGCACAAUGGGCGCAAGUCUGAUGCAGCCAUGCCGCGUGUGUGAAGAAGGCCUGCGGGUUGUAAAGCACUUUCAGCGAGGAGGCGUUACUCGCAGAAGAAGCACCGGCUAACUCCGUGCCAGCCGCCGCGGUAAUAC